UUAACGCUAGCGACGUGCCUAAGGUAUGCAAGUCGAACGGUUGUCUUGAUGUAGCAAUACUGAGAGACGAUAGUGGCAGACGGCUGAGUAACACGUAGGAAUCUCCCCCUAAGUCAAGAAUAGCUCACCGAAAGGUGGGGUAAUACUUGAUAGUCCGGGUAUCUUCGGAUAUUCGGUAAAACUCCGGUGCUUAGGGAUGAGCCUGCGUCCUAUCAGGUAGUUGGCAGGGUAAUAGCCUACCAAGCCUAUGACGGGUAGCUGGCCUCAGAGGGUGGCCAGCCAGACUGGGACUGAGAUACGGCCCAGACUCCUACGGGAGGCAGCAACUAGGAAUUAUGCGCAAUGGACGAAGGUCUGACGCUGCGACGUCGCGUGAAGGAUGAAGAUCUUAGGAUUGUAAACUUCUUUUAUUGGGGAACAAGUUCUGAGUGUACCCAAUGAAUAAGUACCUGCUAACCACGUGCCAGAAGCAUCGGUAAUACGUGGGGUACGAGCGUUAUCCGGUUUUACUGGGCGUAAAGAGAUGCGUAGGCGUCUUAGUAAGUUUGGAGUGAAAUUCCGAUACUCAAUAUCGGAACUACUUUGAAAACUACUAGGAUUGAGUCGGGUAGAGAAGAGGAGAAUUCCUGGUGGAGCGGUUAAAUGCGUUGAUAUCAGGAGGAAUACCAAUUGUGAAGACACCUCUUUGGACCUGUACUGACGCUAAGGCUCGAAAGCGUGGGGAGCAAAACGGAUUAGAUACCCGUGUAGUCCACGCUGUAAACAAUCCUCGUUAGAUAUUUGUUCUGUUUUUUAGUUCUGCGGUUCGCCGUGGUAUAACAAAAAUAGAAUGGGUGUCGCAGCUAACGCGUUAAACGAGGCGCCUGUGGAGUACGGCCGCAAGGCUAAAACACAAAGGAAUUGACGGGGACCCGCACAAGCAGUGGAGCGCCUGGUUUAAUUCGAUGAUCAGCGAAGAACCUCACCUGGGCUUUAACAGUAGCUGCAAAGCCGAUGAAAGUCGGAAUCCUUCGAGGGUGCUAUAGAGGUGAUGCAUGGCUGUCGUCAGCUCGUGUCGUGAGAUGUCGGGUUAAGUCCCACAACGAGCGCAACCCCUAUCUGAUGUUAAAAUUACUUCAGAGACUGCCCUACCUAAAUAGGGAGGAAGGAGGGGAUGACGUCCAGUCAUCAUAUCCCUUAUGUCCAGGGCUACACAGACGCUACAAUGGCUAUUACAAUGGGCAGCCAAGCCGCGAGGCGGAGCUAAUCCCAUCAAAAAUAGUCUCAGUUCAGAUUGCAGGCUGCAACUCGCCUGCAUGAAGUCGGAAUUGCUAGUAAUCGCGUAUCAGCAUGGCGCGGUGGAUACGUUCUCGGGUCUUGUACACACCGCCCGUCAGGGCAUGGGAGUUGCUUUGGCUCGAAGUCCUACGCGAGUAGGCCGAAAGUCAGGGUGGCGACUGGGCUU
rnacentral:rRNA from 1 species